UUAAUAUACGGGAAAGAACUCAACCCGGGCCAUUUUUUUCUAGAAUGAAGAAAUCCGUUUCUUUUUUUGAGACAAGAAAAACAGGUGGUGCAUGGUGGUCGUCAGCUCGUGUCGUGAGAUGUUGGGUUAAGUCCCGCAACGAGCGCAACCCCUAUCUUCAGUUGCCAGCAGUUAAGCCGGGGCACUCUGGGGAGACUGCCGCGGCAAUCCGGGAGGAAGGUGGGGAUGACGUCAAUUCUUCAUGCCCCUUACGUCUUGGGCUACACACGUGUUACAAUGGUGUUAACAGAGGGAAGCGAAGGCGCGAUGCGGAGCAAAUCCCAAAAACCAUGUCCCAGUUCGGAUUGCAGGCUGCAACCCGCCUGCAGGAAGUGGGAAUCGCUAGUAAUCGCAAAUCAGCAUAUCGAGGAACCUUC
rnacentral:rRNA from 1 species